rnacentral:rRNA from 1 species
UACGUAGGUGGCAAGCGUUGUCCGGAUUUACUGGGCGUAAAGAGCGCGCAGGCGGUCGAUCAAGUCGCGUGUGAAAGCCCCCGGCUCAACUGGGGAGGGUCACGCGAUACUGAUCGACUCGAAGGCAGGAGAGGGUAGUGGAAUUCCCGGUGUAGUGGUGAAAUGCGUAGAUAUCGGGGAGGAACACCAGUGGCGAAGGCGGUCUGCUGGGCCGUUGCUGACGCUGAGGCGCGACAGCGUGGGGAGCAAACAGG